rnacentral:rRNA from 1 species
UUAAGCGACUAAGCGUACACGGUGGAUGCCCUGGCAGUCAGAGGCGAUGAAGGACGUGCUAAUCUGCGAUAAGCGUCGGUAAGGUGAUAUGAACCGUUAUAACCGGCGAUUUCCGAAUGGGGAAACCCAGUGUGAUUCGUCACACUAUCAUUAACUGAAUCCAUAGGUUAAUGAGGCGAACCGGGGGAACUGAAACAUCUAAGUACCCCGAGGAAAAGAAAUCAACCGAGAUUCCCCCAGUAGCGGCGAGCGAACGGGGAGCAGCCCAGAGCCUGAAUCAGUGUGUGUGUUAGUGGAAGCGUCUGGAAAGGCGCGCGAUACAGGGUGACAGCCCCGUACACAAAAAUGCACAUACUGUGAGCUCGAUGAGUAGGGCGGGACACGUGGUAUCCUGUCUGAAUAUGGGGGGACCAUCCUCCAAGGCUAAAUACUCCUGACUGACCGAUAGUGAACCAGUACCGUGAGGGAAAGGCGAAAAGAACCCCGGCGAGGGGAGUGAAAAAGAACCUGAAACCGUGUACGUACAAGCAGUGGGAGCCUCUUUAUGGGGUGACUGCGUACCUUUUGUAUAAUGGGUCAGCGACUUAUAUUCUGUAGCAAGGUUAACCGAAUAGGGGAGCCGAAGGGAAACCGAGUCUUAACUGGGCGUUAAGUUGCAGGGUAUAGACCCGAAACCCGGUGAUCUAGCCAUGGGCAGGUUGAAGGUUGGGUAACACUAACUGGAGGACCGAACCGACUAAUGUUGAAAAAUUAGCGGAUGACUUGUGGCUGGGGGUGAAAGGCCAAUCAAACCGGGAGAUAGCUGGUUCUCCCCGAAAGCUAUUUAGGUAGCGCCUCGUGAAUUCAUCUCCGGGGGUAGAGCACUGUUUCGGCAAGGGGGUCAUCCCGACUUACCAACCCGAUGCAAACUGCGAAUACCGGAGAAUGUUAUCACGGGAGACACACGGCGGGUGCUAACGUCCGUCGUGAAGAGGGAAACAACCCAGACCGCCAGCUAAGGUCCCAAAGUCAUGGUUAAGUGGGAAACGAUGUGGGAAGGCCCAGACAGCCAGGAUGUUGGCUUAGAAGCAGCCAUCAUUUAAAGAAAGCGUAAUAGCUCACUGGUCGAGUCGGCCUGCGCGGAAGAUGUAACGGGGCUAAACCAUGCACCGAAGCUGCGGCAGCGACACUAUGUGUUGUUGGGUAGGGGAGCGUUCUGUAAGCCUGUGAAGGUGUACUGUGAGGUAUGCUGGAGGUAUCAGAAGUGCGAAUGCUGACAUAAGUAACGAUAAAGCGGGUGAAAAGCCCGCUCGCCGGAAGACCAAGGGUUCCUGUCCAACGUUAAUCGGGGCAGGGUGAGUCGACCCCUAAGGCGAGGCCGAAAGGCGUAGUCGAUGGGAAACAGGUUAAUAUUCCUGUACUUGGUGUUACUGCGAAGGGGGGACGGAGAAGGCUAUGUUGGCCGGGCGACGGUUGUCCCGGUUUAAGCGUGUAGGCUGGUUUUCCAGGCAAAUCCGGAAAACUAAGGCUGAGGCGUGAUGACGAGGCACUACGGUGCUGAAGCAACAAAUGCCCUGCUUCCAGGAAAAGCCUCUAAGCAUCAGGUAACAUCAAAUCGUACCCCAAACCGACACAGGUGGUCAGGUAGAGAAUACCAAGGCGCUUGAGAGAACUCGGGUGAAGGAACUAGGCAAAAUGGUGCCGUAACUUCGGGAGAAGGCACGCUGAUAUGUAGGUGAAGCGACUUGCUCGUGGAGCUGAAAUCAGUCGAAGAUACCAGCUGGCUGCAACUGUUUAUUAAAAACACAGCACUGUGCAAACACGAAAGUGGACGUAUACGGUGUGACGCCUGCCCGGUGCCGGAAGGUUAAUUGAUGGGGUUAGCGGUAACGCGAAGCUCUUGAUCGAAGCCCCGGUAAACGGCGGCCGUAACUAUAACGGUCCUAAGGUAGCGAAAUUCCUUGUCGGGUAAGUUCCGACCUGCACGAAUGGCGUAAUGAUGGCCAGGCUGUCUCCACCCGAGACUCAGUGAAAUUGAACUCGCUGUGAAGAUGCAGUGUACCCGCGGCAAGACGGAAAGACCCCGUGAACCUUUACUAUAGCUUGACACUGAACAUUGAGCCUUGAUGUGUAGGAUAGGUGGGAGGCUUUGAAGUGUGGACGCCAGUCUGCAUGGAGCCGACCUUGAAAUACCACCCUUUAAUGUUUGAUGUUCUAACGUUGACCCGUGAUCCGGGUUGCGGACAGUGUCUGGUGGGUAGUUUGACUGGGGCGGUCUCCUCCUAAAGAGUAACGGAGGAGCACGAAGGUUGGCUAAUCCUGGUCGGACAUCAGGAGGUUAGUGCAAUGGCAUAAGCCAGCUUGACUGCGAGCGUGACGGCGCGAGCAGGUGCGAAAGCAGGUCAUAGUGAUCCGGUGGUUCUGAAUGGAAGGGCCAUCGCUCAACGGAUAAAAGGUACUCCGGGGAUAACAGGCUGAUACCGCCCAAGAGUUCAUAUCGACGGCGGUGUUUGGCACCUCGAUGUCGGCUCAUCACAUCCUGGGGCUGAAGUAGGUCCCAAGGGUAUGGCUGUUCGCCAUUUAAAGUGGUACGCGAGCUGGGUUUAGAACGUCGUGAGACAGUUCGGUCCCUAUCUGCCGUGGGCGCUGGAGAACUGAGGGGGGCUGCUCCUAGUACGAGAGGACCGGAGUGGACGCAUCACUGGUGUUCGGGUUGUCAUGCCAAUGGCACUGCCCGGUAGCUAAAUGCGGAAGAGAUAAGUGCUGAAAGCAUCUAAGCACGAAACUUGCCCCGAGAUGAGUUCUCCCUGACUCCCUGAGAGUCCUGAAGGAACGUUGAAGACGACGACGUUGAUAGGCCGGGUGUGUAAGCGCAGCGAUGCGUUGAGCUAACCGGUACUAAUGAACCGUGAGGCUUAACCU